GCCCAGCUCCGCCCUUCAGCGCCGCUGUCCUUGAAGCCCUGGGCCCUGAGGCUUUGGGCCAACUAGGGAUCAAACCGCCACAGGUGCCGUCGGGCCCCAUACACCUGGAAGGGGUGUCCUUCCUCCAGGAGGGCACGGGUAACCACAGAGGACAGUGCCGGGGACCCACCCCAGCCCAGGGCCGCCUGGAGCACACUCACCUGGUGGUCCUGGUGGGCCCACUUCUCCUUUAUCACCCUUCGGUCCAGGAGGCCCCUGGUACCCUGGAGGGACAGAGACCCAGGAGUGCCCAUCAUCGAGCUGUGACAGGGCCCUUGGGCCAUGCCCCUGUGCCCCGCUCACCCCCAGCCCUUGUGAGUGCUGCGUGCACUAGCCUGGACGGGGGAGGAGCACCACACGAGUUUGGGAGCCUUCAGAGCAAGAGCUUUUGUUGAGCAGAAGCACUCGGGGGUCCCACCCAAGGGGCUGCCCCUGGAGGCCACACCACUCCCGCGGGGCGGGCGCGGGCUGACAGAGCAGGCCCGGGCAGGGGGCAGAUCUAAAUUCCGCACGCAAGUGGGUGUCUACUCAGUGUCCGGGGCUGUCCCCCGCGAGGCUGCCAGGACGGCCGUGCUGGGACGACCCGGGAGGUCCCACGAGAGGCCCGUGAUCACUCUGGAGCAGGGGACAUGGGCCAAUGAGGCAUUCCUGCUUCCCCUGGAGCCCAGGCUCACAGGAGGAAGUCCUGCGGCAUCCAGCAUCCCCAAGAGAAGCCACCGCCCCAGCCACCGCGAGGCCCCAGGGGCCCUCACCUGGCAAUCCUGGAGGUCCGGGGCGGCCAGACUCCAUGAAGUCCUGCAAAGAAGCUGGCCGAAAGAGAAGAGACAGCCACCCAGACGGGUUGCAAAGCACUCAUUCUGGCAGUGACCUGCUUACUGGACAAAGCACCAGCCUGUGUAACUCACGCUGCAUCAGGAGCGAGACCAGGGCCAGUGAGGUCGUGCAAACCUCAGGACCCGGCCCCGCCUGCCCUGCGGUCGCCUCCUUGCAGUGCCCCACUGAGGCCAAGGACAGAGGGACUGGAGGCAGCACAGAGGUGGGGUGUCGGGCCCCCAGAGGAGCCGCUGGAGGCGGAGCCGUGUCCCAGCAGACUCCACGGGCACACAUGCGCCCUUAGGUCAGAACUGACUCGCCGUCCGCCCUUAGGUCAGAAGUGCGGAAAGGAUCCCGGCGCCUGUCUUGCUUGUCGAGGCCCGCGACCCGUCUUUGUGUCACUACUUCAGAUCGCCGCGAGAUGUCACCUCCUGCCUCUUGGAGUUUUCACGAGGCAGCAGCCACAUUUAGGCCACGGGAGGAAGGAGCCACGAUGAAGAACCAGCAGUGAUGGCAAAAGCAGAAAAGUGGGGACUGUCUGACACGCUGGCCUCGGGACCCCACGCCCCGGCCCGGGCCGUGGGAGCAAAGUCACCGAGUGCACCUGGCAGCUGGCUGGGUGCCCGGCCGCGGGAUCGGGAGCAGGUCCCGUGUCUGGAGGCCCCCUCUUAGGGAGAAACGGAUAAAAACACCCGGACUACCAACAUAAACCCUGCUCAGAAGCCGGUGAGGCGCUGAGAGUCAGGCUGUGGUGCUGAGUGAGGGGCCCCACCGGGGGCAGGGGUCACGCCCGGGACCCACGCGGCCGUGCCCUUCCAGAAGAGCCGCUCGGGGCCCCUGUCCCCGCAGCUCAGCUGGAGUGUGCGCGCACAUGUGUGGGGUCCUCGUGCCAGAGGACCGGCCCGGUGUGGUCACGGCGCAGGGCCCUCCACGGCCCUGGGCGUCCCAGCCACGCCGUCCGCCCCUUGGGGGACACUCACCCUCACACCAAAGCCGACGCUGGCAUGUCCUGGCUCCCCUUUCUCGCCUUUCAGUCCGUUCAUCCCGGGGCGACCCUGGGGCAGGGCACAGGGGCGGUCACUGCCGGAGCUGGCUCACGCCAGCCUGGCCAGCUCUCGGUCCCCGCCCAGGAUCUCCUAGGGCGCCAGCCCCUCUGGCCCGAGCCGCCCACAAACGGGCUGGGCAGCCCUAGGCUUCAUCCUGGAGAAGCCGUCCCUAGGCGGGGUGGUCCCUGGGGGCAGGGCAGGGGGAGGAACUGUGGUCUGCGGCCCCCUAGGCCCCCAGGGGCCAGGCCCGAACGAGAUCCUGGGUCCUUACCGGCCGCCCAGGGAAGCCAAUCUCCCCUUUGUGCCCCGGCCGUCCAUAUGGACCCUGCAGGAAGGAGGAGCGCCUUUCAGGAGAGCAGAGGCCGGCGUCUGCGGUGGCCUCCCGCCCGACACCUGCCUCCGUGUUCGCCAAGCAUGCCCGGAUGUACGCUCGGGCCACCACGCCCGCUCAGCGGCCAGGCCGUCACGGCACCUCGUGUUCUGUCACACCGCGCACGUGUGUUCGCGGUGGGAGGCGUGCGCCUACUCACCGGCGGUCCUCGGAAGCCGGGCUCUCCCUGAACAGGAAACCAGAAGGCGCCGUCAGAUGGCCGGCGGGGCAGUGCCCGAGGGGCUCCGACCGUGCCAGGGACGGAAGGAAACGGCAGAGGGAGCAUGCUCUAGAUGGGGUUUUUGUCCCCAGGGAGCACGGACGAGGCCUGCCGUGGGGGCCCCCCCGACCUCGGGGCCGGCCUGAGUUCUCUGGGCCCUGAGAUCCAAGGUCCCACUGCCCAUCCCAGACAACCCUGGGAGACUUCAGGGCCCCUCCGGGCUUGUCCCCCACGGCCACUGAAUCUGGGUCCAAGUCCUCCCCGCACCCUCUCAGGGCCUGUCUGGGGGUGGGGGCUGAGGGAGGAGGGCCGGGACCCCUCCACGGUGGCAGCACCCAGAGGCAGAGGGGCAGCUGCAUCCUCAGGGAGGGGCGUCUGCAGGUGAGGCCCCUGCUGAGUCCCCCUCCUCCAGAGCCCCCAGCCCCUCGGCAGGGCGGGCUCAGCUGACAGGCAGGGGAUAACCAGGGGCCGGCUGGGUGGUGGCCAAGCCAGGCGUACGGGCUCUGACCCUCCCAGUGCGGCACUGAGAGAGGGACAGACAGGGAAGGGCGAGGGGCCCAGGCUACAGAAGUUUCCAGAGCCCUCUCAGGAACCCCCCCCCCCCCCGCCCGCCCCAGCCCCCGGCCUGGACAAAGGUGAGCAAUCCCAGGCACCGGGCUCACCUUGGCUCCUUUCUGGGCAGGGCCCAGCGUGCCGCCAUCGGGGCUGAAGACUGGGCCCGGCUCGCCCUUCUCACCCUGGAACAGCGGGGGUGACGGCAUGAGGCCGGCUCUGGGGAAGGGAGGGCCCUCGACUCCCACAGUAAAGCCCCAACUCGGGGCAUGAACACCAACCCCGGAGCAGGUGCAUGGUGAGCGGGGUCCUCCCCUCCCUGGGCUCUGCCGUGGGGGGGUCUCCGCGGGGCCUCCAUGGGUCACAGUGAGGUGACCGUGAAGAGAACCGGCAUCAGACUCGGUCAGGGCUCUCGUGUCCCCAUCGCCCCCCCCCCCCCCCCCCGGGUCACGGAGCAGAUGGUGCCUGAGCCUCUCACCUUGGGUCCCGGGGGGCCCCGCUGGCCUUUGGAGCCCAGAUCUCCCUUUGGCCCAGCCGGUCCCUAUGAGGAGACAGGAAUGAGGGCCACGCGAGGGACCCUGUCCCACCGCGGCCGCCUGGGCACACCUGCCUCCUCGUCCUGACCCACACCCCGAGACCCCGCCCUGGUCCCCGGGGCUUCUGCGCAGGAGCCUGAAGGUUCCCCGGCUCUGCGGGCACCCUCCGGCACUGGGCUCACCAGGGGCGCGGGGCCGGCGCGCGGAGGGCCGGGGGGCGACUUACAGGAAAGCCCGCGUACCCCGGCCGGCCCUGCGGAAGAGAGGGGCCGGGUCAGCUCGGGGCGGGCGCGGAGCCGGCUGUGGCUCCCCCCUGGGACGGCGUGCACAUACCUCAGGUCCCGGCACGCCUGCCACUGCUCUCUGUCCACGGCCGGCGGAAACACAGGCCGGGGGAGGAAAAGGGAAAACAGGUUAGGGUUAAAGCCCAGCUCGCCUCACGGGCCCAAGGACACAGCACAGCAACUAAUGCCCGAGAAAAACUGCCUUCACUCGCCGUCCUGGCUUUGGCCUCAGGUCCCUCAGAUAGGCACUGGAGAAGCUUCCAGAGACCCCAGGGCCAGAGCGGACUGCCGGCAUCUGGGAACCCAGGGGGUUCUGAUGGGGCAGCUCAGAGGCUGAGGACACGAGGGUCUCAGUGGGAGAGGCCUUGCUCCAUUUAGGUUUUCCGCUAUAGAAUUUCCAUUUCUCUCCGGUCACCCACUCCCAUAACUUUUUUCUCAUUCAAAUAAUUUAAAAGUCUCACCAUAAUGAGACACCAUCGCUGGUCCAGAAUAGAACCAAGUGGAAACCCUGGAGUCUUUAGGGGGCACCCGAGGUGGGGGGGGGGGGAGCCGACGUGGGGUCAGGGACCGGGCUGGCACCCGCCGUGGCCAGUGCCAGGGGGAGGGCCGGGCACAGCGCCUGCCCACCCACGCAGUGUUCUUACGUCCUGCUCCGACACGUAGACGACAGGUCCGGGGGGCCCGGGGGGUCCGGGGAGGCCAGGCUGCCCCACUCCAUCCCUCCCUGGGUCACCCUGAAAGAGAAAGCCGGUGUCUGACUCUCAGAUGGCUCGCGGGGGCCUCCAGAUUGUCCGGGCAGCCCUGGAAGGGACCCCAAGCCCACCCAGGGCUCGGAAGGGGUUCCUGGCGCCCACAGGGUGUGAGGAGGCGCCUGGGCUGGCGACGGCAGUGCUGAGGGCCCCACCUCCCGGCAGGGCAGGCUCCGAGCCAGCACCCCUCAAGGCUUGGCCACGCACGUGCCCGGCCCGCAGACUCCGAGCCCCACUCACUUUCUCUCCCUGGGUCCCUUUUUCUCCUUUGGGUCCCUGCAAAGAUGGAAACAGUUCAUCUCAAACAGAGCCUGAGCCCCCUUCCUGGAGACCCCACACCACCAGCAGCGGCUCUGAAUGGAGACGUAGAGAGUUCUUCCUGGGAAAGGGGGCUGAGCCAGGCAGGAAGCCCGGCGGGCAGCCUGGACCCCUGGCCCAUGGCCCACGGAGCUGGGGUCUCCGAGCCCUGUGGGGUACAGAGCACUGGUCAGGACCCCGAGACCACACCGAGGUGUCAGCCUCAUCAGCCGCUCGGGUGGUCCGCUCCCCCACCCCAAGCGUUCCUAGUGGUCGUGCACCUGGGCUCCGGCUGUGCCCUCUCUGCCAGGGAGGCCGGGGAACCCGGGAGGUCCAUCGGCUCCGACUUCUCCCUGCACCCGACACAGGAGGAGACGAGCGUCAGCCCACCGCCCAGCAAAGCCUGGCGUCCGGGGAGGGCCAGCCCAGAGCGGAGGGUCCCAGGGACACCGGGCCAGCUGUGCAGGCAGCUAACACAUGCAGCCUAGACUGUUCUGGAAGCUGCCCCAUCAGUUUGCUCCAAGGAGCACUCCACCAGACGACUUCAUUUUAAGGAAGCAGCACACAGACCAGACGCGAGGGCAGGCGUGCCCGGUGCCUCCACAACCCGAAUCUGCAUCUUGUGUAACUGAAGCCUGCGUCCGAGCAGACAGAAUGCUGCCCUCUGGCCCGUACAGGGCACUGGCUGGCUCGGCUUUGCUGUGACCCCCGGGGGUCUCCGUCACCUCCGAAGUCACGGAACAGCCCCGCUGAUUCCUCCAGGGGUCAAGGGGCACUGGAUCUGUGUACCCGGGUCCAGGGCCCUACAAGCGGGGACAGGACCCCGGGCCCGAGACCUCGCUGCCACCCCCCACCGGGUCCUCUCUGGUGCCCAGGCAGCUACCCGAUGCGGCCAAAGGCUAGGAUUUUUUAACACGUAAAAGGAAAAGCACGAAAUUAAACUAGCAAAGCCACUCUAGCUACUCAGGGAAAUAGUUUCUGCCCAAGAGAAAAUUCUCACUAACGCUGCCCAGAAUAGAAACCUGUCCCCGCUGCUCACUCUCACCAGGCUGAGGGUCUGGGGCCGCGGCGGGCGCUGGCAGGAGGGUCCCCUGGGCAUCCACCGGCCAUGGCAGAGGCAGCGCCCCACCCCGGGACGUGUCCCCCACGUCUGGUCCAAGUCCAGGGCUCGCGGGGGUGUCGGCUGCUUCAGCCAAACCCAGGCCCAACUGGUGCAGACGUUAACAGCAGAACGAGGUGGGAUUUCACAGGAAGGUACCCAUUUUUGUUUAGUUACAAUUGUACUUAGGGCCAAAGUUUAUUGCUUGCCCCAGUUAGAGCCGUAACGAGAACUCAAGCACUGCUAUUUUCCAGAAAGAUCCAUCUUUUAGGGCUCAUUCUGCCCCACGUCCAUCUACCGGACCACCAACGGCACUUCCCCACAUGGACGGUCCACUCCCUUCCAGAAGGCCUCCAGGGUGGACAGUGCCCAGGCAUCAGUGGCCUUGCUGGUCCCCACCGGCGGGCUGGUCCCAGGGGCAUCCCCUGCCCCGCGUGCACCUCCCCCCGAGAGCGGAUCAAGCCGGCAAGGGCAGUACCUGUGGCCCGCUGGCUCCGUGAGCAGUUGACCAGAAGGGUCCCCCAGAGCCGUCCAUGUCCUCCUGCGGGCAGCACACGAGGGGGACAGUUGGGUCUGCGUGUCUUACGGGAAGAGAUCCCUCCCGGAGGCCAGCCGCUGGCCUGAGGGGGAGACUCAGCCACAGCUAAGCAGGGCAGGUUCCAAGGGCUGAGGUCGCCUGGAAGCGGCCAUUCUUGGUCCUGGCAUAAGAAGCGUCUGCCGGGUUGCAGGGACCCUGCUGGGGGCGGGGGGCGCCCUGUUCAGCCCUCCUCUGAGUUUAGGGGAUUUUAUUUUUGGCCCGAGCACCAGCCGGGGGCCUGGCUGUCUCACGGUGUUGCUUGGAGCAGUCUUUCCCCAGCACGCACAGGACAGGGGCCCUGGCAUGACCACCUGUGCAACUGGGUGGCUGCUCCCCCACUGCCCCUGGUUCCACCUUGUGGCACCGUCCAGGUGGGGCUCAGACACGGGGCCGGGGAGAGUGCUAGCCCGUGGGGGGUGCCCAGGGGGGCACGGGGCUGCAGACUCGGCUUUCUGGGGGAUGGGAGCAACCAGUACUCACAAACCCCGCGGCAAGUCCUGGUCCUGGAGGCCCGGGGGGCCCGGGGGGCCCUGGUGGUCCAGCUGGUCCGGGGGCUCCUGCCAAGCCAGUCUCCCCGGGAGCGCCAGUGGGGCCAGGGUCCCCCUUGCUUCCCUGCACAGGUGGAGAGACAGAAGUCACUGCUUUCGGCCACCAGGGUGUCCACUAAACCCCGAGACAGCCACUGCAUGCCGUGCCCACCUGCUUUCCCUAUGUGCUUUUUACAAAUCUGGAAACCGGAGACAAACGGCAUUGCACAAAGCAAACCCAAUAGCCCCUGUUUUUCCUCUGACUCUAGGAAACGGUUUUAUCCACUUUAAAAACGACACUACCGAGGGAGACCCACAGGCCCACACACCGGAGAUACUCCUUCCAGGUCUGGUGCAAGGUGCGCACAGAGCACGCUGUCCCCCGCGGCGGAGGAGGGGGUGGCGAGCUGUGGCGGAAUCCGCAUGACCUGUGUCCCGAUCCCAUCCUCAUCCUGGUCCUCCCUUCCGCCCCGCGGGGUUUGCCCAGCACAGCCCCGGCCCACCAGUGGGCACUUCCCCUGGGGACCAGCCCCUUGACUUCCCGGGAAGUUUCCGGUGAGCGCCCGCCCACCCGGUGCAGCUGAGAAGGGGCCUCUCCGGACCCGCUUCCUCAUGGGAUCCCACGGGGCCCCAGCAGCACCCCAGCCCCCAGCAGCCCGGUCCCUCCCCAUGAAGCCCCCCCACUCGACGCUUUAUCCUACAAGUUUUCACCAGAAGCUUGUAUCCAAACACCAGCUCUCAUUCCGCAGCAGCCAGAACUGGGUGGGAACCCUGGCCGGACCAAGGGGACGCCUCCCCAGGGCGGCUCCCACAGUGGACACCAGCUCCCUUGACCGUGGCCCAGCCUGCCCCGCACCCAGCUGCCCAUCUCCACCCGCCCCAGGUGCCUCCAGGGGCAUCUCGUCUGUACCUUAGGUCCCGGGGCGCCCGCUUCGCCCUGCAGGGGAGAGAGAACAAUCGCUGAACCAGACCGCGUGCAGCCAGCGAGAGGAGAGCACACACUUGUGCUCAUUCCGUCCUGACCCGAGAGGCCGCUGGUUUGCCAGUCACGCCGAUCAAAGCCUGGCUUUCCUCGCUCGUGUCUGGGCAGCUGGGAUCCCGUGUGCCGCUCCCGGAAGACACGCAUCUGAAACCCUGAGUGUCUCCUGGCCCUGGCACAGCGUGGGCUGCUCCCGCCACCGCCCUGUGUCAGACCUGGACAGAGGCUCCCGGGGGGCUGGGAGUGGCCGGCACCCCCACGAGAGCCCCUCUGGCUCGGCUGCUCCCCCAGUGAGAGGCCCUGAGCACCCGGGGUUCACGGAAAACGCGCCUCCUCCGCUCAGCCCCGAGCAGCCUGGCUCUCACAGAAAGUAUCCCACGGAGGACGGCCUCGAAACCCCUCCUGGUUCAUUCACCGUAAACGACGUGGAGCCACGGGCCCCGGUUGUAACCAGAAUGAAAGUUUGGGAUGCAGUUUCUAAAUCAAGCAAAGUGUCCCCACGACCCCAAACACCUAGUCCAGCUGUCAUCAGAAACACUGAUCACAGAGUCCCGAAUUUUUACACGCUUCUCAGCAAACUCCAGACGCCCCAGGCCCCAGGCUCUCAGACCCUGAUGACUUAGGCAGAUGGUGGAUGGUGGCCGUGCACGGGAUGACAGGGCCACCUGCCUCCCCGUGGCCACCUUUGUGGCACUUCUCAUGCGGAAGGCCGCCCGGUCGCAUCCCCACACCCAUCGCUCUCCGGCCGGCACGCGGCACCGGGUCAGGCCCGCACAGACUUCUGGGGAAGUGACUUACGGGGCUGCCUUUCUGGCCAGUCUUUCCUGGUCCCCCGUCUCUUCCUGGAGGACCUGGCGGUCCCUGGGGGAGAGAAAAGCAGAGUGUGGGGCCAGAUGGAAUUCAGCCGCUGAAAAAGAUUCACGGGGCAGCGGAUGAUUAUCCGGGUGUGCACGCUUCCCCAGGGUCGAGGACGCCGAGUGUCUCCCCUGACGGCUCACAGGAGAGCCUGCACACGGGCUACGGGGCGCAGCGGCUCCGCUCGGUUUCUAUGUUUGUUCCCUUUUCGUUGAGUUGAUCGAAUAGGGGAGGAUGAGAAGGGCCCCCAGACCGUGAGUGAGGGGCUGGUCAUUCAAACAGAGCCGGGCGCCAUCCACGGGACGACGCCACGAGCGUGCGGAUUGGACCUCCGGAGCGCGUCGUCCGGCAAACGCGUUCCGUGCACCCGGUUCACGUGGCGCAACUCUGAUAGCGAUAUGUGUGGGAACCUCCAGGCCGCGGGGCCCCCCCGGCGUCAGGAGCGGGGGUGGCAGGGCUCUGAGCACCCCACGAGUGGUGAGUCCCAGACGCGGGCUCCUCACGGCCCCCGGGCCUGCAGGCAGGGCCCACUCCUGGAGACAGACUCUGGGAGGUCCACUGACCUGCCGGAGGCCCGGAGCUGAAUGGCGCUGCAGGCAUCACCCAGUGGGUCGGCCACUCAGGCUCCUCCCCCCAGGGGCCCAGAGCCAGGAGCCGCCUCCCUGCGAUGAUCUGGGCAGGGGGGGUACGGGUGGGGACUGGUGUUCACCCCCCACCCCAGGCCAAGCCCGGAGGGGGUCAAGGGCAGGGAGGGGCAGGAGGCAGGCCUUACCGGGGCGCCAGGAAGCCCGGGGGCCCCGUCCCGCCCAGGCACUCCAGGAAGGCCUGCGGGGCCUGGGACGUCGGAGCUGUUCAUCCCAAAGCGGCCUGGCUCUCCGGGCAGGCCUGGGACGCCGGGGGGCCCCGGGGGGCCAGGGAAGCCUCUCGGGCCCUGGAUACAGAGAAACGCAGGAUGGUUGUGGCACGCGGCACCCGCCGAGGGACGGCCCUGACCCCCACCCCCACUUGGGCACCACCACCACCACCACCACCACAGGGUCCACAUGCCCAGGACACUCACUCGGAGACUCUCCAGGUCACCGCCGAACCCGGACCCCUCCAUGUCAAUGAAGGUCUGAGGGAAGGAGCCCACGGACAUGUCACUGGGGGCCCAGGUCCUUCCACCCGGCCCUCCCCUCGCCCAAGGCCAGCGGGGUGGGGGCUCGACCCGGCAGGAUGCUCAUCUCGAGCACUGCCCACAGCCCACAGCUGGGAGGUUUACGGUGAGAAGCCGUAAGCAGGUAGUAGACGCGCCCGCUGAACAAAAGGAGGCAGAGCCGGGCAGGAGGACAGCCCUGCGGCCCCAACACCCUGUGGCCCAGCAGACAGGGCUGACUCCCGGGCCUGGACACCGUCCCGGAAGGCCGGUCUGGGUCCAAAGAAGGAGGCGUCAGGAAGCCAAGCGAGGUGUGGAGGGUCCCUCCUGGGGCAGCAGGCGGCCCCCCUGCUGGAAGAGGCUGCGGCCGGGACUUACCAGCCUGUCAUGUCUGAAGGAGGGUCCUGGUGGCCCCGGAGGCCCUUGGGGUCCUGGGGGUCCUCUUGGCCCGACUCCAGGGUCCCCCUGGGGAUGUAAGACACCAGUUACAUCAGGGCGUACGGCCCUCAUUGCGGUCAGGGCUUGAGAGCAUAACGCACACGAACGGAGACCCAGACAGCUGAGACUCUCACCUUCUCGCCCUUGGGGCCCAUGUCUCCUGGGGUCCCGGGGAAGCCCUGUGGCCCAGGGUCACCCUGGAAGACAAAGACCAUCAUCUCGGUCAGGGAGAAGGCCCCUCUGUGCUGUCACCACCCGUCCCGCCCAAGACACAUGGCCGGGGCAGACAGCCAAGCCAUCGAGGGGUUGACAGAGGGCAUCCAUGCAGGACUCAAGGCAGACACUGCCCACUGGGGAUCUGACCUGAGGGGCCACGUGGACCUUUCUACACAAAUGUGACCUGCGACUUCCCAUGGACAUCCUCACCAGACACUGGCGCUCUGCCCCAUACAUGCCUGUGCCUGCCCCGUACGUGUGUGUGCCUGCCCCGUACGUGUGUGUGUACCUGUCCCAUACACUCAUGUGCCUGCAUUGGGUGCUGUGGACAGAGUGCCUGCACAUUUGCCCCUGGUGGGCGCAGGAGGCUUCUGUGUGCUGGAACAUCCACGUUCACUGUGGGGCCUGUCAGAUUACAGAUUCCUGUGCGUUCACCCAGAGCAAGCUGUCCCUGGAGUCCUUUGGGUCCCGGACGCCCCAGGCCCUGCCCGGCCGAGCACCAGCUGAUUUCCUCAGGCGCCACCGGUAUUCCCGCAAGUGACUCCACCACCAGGUUAAGUAGGGACUGUCUGGGGUCAGUAGGAAAUAUCCCUUUCUGCCCCCUCGAAUGUUUUCAAGAGGGGUGUGCAGUUAGUCAGCGGCCUGUCCCCAUGACCACUUGUCGGGGCGUCAUGUCCCGUAUCUCAGUUGGCAACUUUCUCGCGCUGUGUUACCGUGCUUCUGGGAAAUAGCAUUUGUUGAUUUUUAAAAAUCCAUAGUUUUCAAGAUAGAAGCUCCCAUCUGUUGUGACUGCUGGUUGGUCUGCAUGGACCCUGCCCCCUCACCCCCCGCCCAGCUACAGGCUGCACCCCUCCCCAACCCACAAACACGCUUCCUGUUUCUUUGUUAUGUGUUUUUCCCUCUAAGAGUCUGGAAGCUAGACCUUUUAUUUCUUCCCUUUCCUUUUUUUUCUGGUAGUUAGCCUAAACUUCUCAAUACGUACGCAUAACUUAGUAUUUUUCUAUCAACAGACUUCUAUUUUCUCAACCAAAGUGAAGUUGCAUUCAAAGCUAAGUGCAUUGGCACUGAGUUUACAGAGUGCCACGGGGUAAAGAAGCCCGAGGGUCUCACACAAAUGUCACAGAUGGGACCUGGCUGUGAAAGAAAAGUGAACUUACAGGUUUCCCGUCUUCACCAGGAUCGCCCUGGAACGUGCAGGAGAGCCAUCAGUGACAGAGAAUUAUACCCCGUCCCCACCCUGAUCUGAACACGGAAACGGAGACGCACUCCAGGCCCCCUGAACGGUGGCGUGUGAGUGUGGAGAGCCUCCCUCCCAGUGCACCGCGGGCUGGCCCUGCGGGGCCUCGCUGGCCACCCCCGGCCACCCUCUUCCCUGACUGCCCCCACCUUGCUAACCAGCCUUCCGACUUGACCGCCCCCGGCCUCGCUAACUGCCCCCCUCCCUGACUGCCCCCUGACAUCCUAAUUGCCCCCUGCCUUGCUGACCACCCCUCCUCCCUGACCACCCCCCCUUGCUGACCACCCCUCACCUCCCUGAUCUCCCCCCCUGCCUGGCUGACCGCCCUCUGUCUCCCGAGGAGAGAGGAAGCGGCCUCAGGUCAGGGCCACCCCAAGGUCUCCAUCGGGGACCGGCUGCUCAGCCGCCUUAGGCCCACCUCCCCCCUCCUGUCCAAGCCCCUCCCCCCGGCCCAACCCAGGGAAGACAGACUCACCGGCUCACCGUCCUUUCCAGGAGCACCGUCCUUCCCCGGUGGCCCUGGGGGGCCCGGGGGGCCCUGUGGCCCGGGUACAGGCUGUGCAUCGGGGCUCUGUACUGCAGAGCCUGCAGGACCCUGGGGACGAAGAGGAGAGGGCACAGGCUGGGGGGCCGCGGCUGCACCCUCCUGAGUCUCAGGCUGGGCUAUGUAUCACAGGGGACGUGCAGAGAGGACAUGACAGGCAUGGGACACACAGUGGGCCCUGCCCGGUCAUCCCUGCCACGUGCUCCCUCCCGGGGCUGCAGGUGCAGGAGGAGCACAGAGGAAGGGGUGCGGCAGCUGGAGCUGCAUCCGGGUGCCCUGGGGUCAAGGGAGGGGCCUCACCUCUUCCGGGCCGCCCCCAGGGCUCCGGACGCUCCAUGCGGUGACAGUAUCUGAGCCGGGGAGGGUCCAAGCUGGGGGAGGCAGAGGCAGCCGUCAUACCCGUCAUACCCGGGAGCACGGCCCAGACUCCACUCUGGGCUCCCCGCCCCGGACCCAGGCUGCGUGCGGCUCCAGGAUGCAGUCCCCCCACCAUGCACACACACGCGCACACACUCUCAUGCGCAUGCUCACAUACAUGCACACACACACAUUCACGUACAUGCACUCACAUGCACGUGCACACACGCAAUGCAUGCACACGCAAACACACAUCAUUUCUUCUCUUGCUGAACCACGGAAGUUUGUUGCAUCUGUCACAACCCUCACCCCCAAUGCCACACGCCUCCUAAGAGCUGAGAGUGAGGAUGUUUUCUGACAACCAGGCAGUUACACUUAGGAUGUUUCAGGCUGUUGCCUGCGGUGACUGAACACGCGGCCCAGAUUCAAGUGUCUGCACUGGCCCCGCGAUGUCCUUGGAAGCUUCCUUCUGGGGAUGGUUGACGGUGGAGGCUCCAGACCCCAGGAAGAACGGGCCGAGUCUGGCCUAAGCAGCCCUUGGCCUGCCUUGCAGGGCCCCAGAGCGGCAGACGGGGCCCAGAGCUCUGGGGCAGCCACCACACAGACAAGGAGCCACAGGGCACAGAUGCCUGAGGCAUGGGCCGUUGGCUCGCCCUGGCCAGCCCAGGACGGUCAGGAUGGGCACCUUCCCCUUGUGGGGUGAACUAAGGCUGCUCCCCCAAACCUUCCUCCAAGGGGGUCGGCCCACCCAGUUAGACCGCAGGGACUCACGCCGCUCCUGAGGCCCGUUUCCUGAGGGGACUUGGGGGGAACCACUGCCCCCUUGGUGGGUGUGCUGGGCCCUCUGACGGCGCAGCGGGCUGGGGGCGGGGACUGCACGGGAUCUGAGGCCCCUUAGCUGAACAUGGACCGAUGUGCAGACUGUUCGGGGCCUUGCCAGCCUCCCCACCGGCACAGAAGAAAUCGGAGCCACGUCCACGCCCUUGACCAUGACCCUGCCAGAGCCUCUUGGAUGCCCCUGGGCCCAGCAGCCAGACCACGCCCACUGAGGACCUAGGGAGAGUCCCAGGUGGGUGCGGGAGGGCAGCCCGGCCCCAGCCCCGUGGCGGCCAGCAUCGGGUGCACACCUCUCGGGCCCGUAUUCCAAAUGCAGCAUGAUUUAAGGCAAACUUAAAACCUCUGCCUCAGUGAACAUUUAAACGGCAAAAACCUUGCUAAGAGAAAGCAAAGGAAGAAGCCUUUUCGGAAGACUCCGUUCAGCGUCUGUGCCUUCUGAGGACUGGUUUACAGAGCCAGAGACGCUCCGGUCGGCGCUCCGGCUGGCUCUUCGCGCAGAAACCGACACACCGGGUCCGCAGUGCGGGAGGACGCGCGGAGGACACGGAAAAUCACAGCAGCAUCACAAAGGGACAGCAGGUGUGGAGGGCUGGCACGGUGUUAUCCCAGACUUGUAACAAAGCCACAGCAACGGGACUGCUGUGAGGACAGACCCACGGAGCAGAGUCCAGAAAUAGUCUCACACGUACACGGAUGGCUGCUUUCCGACCAAGGCACACGUGCGGCUCGGCGGGAGGAAAGACCGUCUUUCCGGUAAGUGGCUCCGAACAGACAGCCGUGCUUCAUUCCACACAGAAACCUAACUCAAAGCGGGUCACAGGACCAAAUGCAAAACCCAAAACCAUAACACGACCAGACACAUCAGAAAGCCCCUGGGACCGUGGGCAGGGAGACUUUCUAGCUCUGACACCAGAAGCGAGAUCCACACGUGAACGAACCGAUAAAUUGAGUUUCAUCCAAAUUAAAAACCAAUCUGUUCUGCUUUCGUACAGACGCUAUUAACAAAAUGGAAAGAUAAGCCACAGACUGAAAAAAUAUUUGCAAAACACACACCCGACAAAGGAGUCCCAUCCAGAACAUCAAGAACUCUCAAAAGUCAGUAACUGGGAAACAGCCGCUAAGAUUUGAACAGAUGCUUUACUGAAAACAACGCACAAAGGGCAGGCAAGAUCAGCACGUGGAAAGAUGCCCCACGUCAUCGGUCAUCAGGGGGCGGCUAAUCACACGGCCUUGAGCCGCCCUGUGCACCUGCCGGGACGCUGGCAAUGGCACGUGGCCACGCCCAGCGCCACCCGGAACUGCGGGGAAAGGUCGUCUGCGGCAGCAUCUUCGAUAGUCAAACACACACCUGUCCUGUGGCCCAGCCAUUCUACCCAAGGUGUCGAGCGGAGACACAGCAGCAGGUGUCCCUACAGAGGCUUCCCCUGGAGCCCCACAGCACCUUUAGCUGUGACAGCCCCCAGCUGGAAAUGACACAAAGGUCCACUGGCAGGUGAGUGGACAGCCAACUUCGGGUCCUUCCACACGGUGAAACAGCGCCCGAACCAACAGUGCAAAAUCACACCGUGCUGAGCGUCAGCACAACGGUACUGAGCGGAUGAAUCCAGACAGGAAGGCAGAGAGCGUAUGGUUCCACGUACGGAACCUUCCAGGAAACACCAGCAUCUACAGCAACAGAAGGCAGAUCAGGGGGCACCUGGGAGGGGUGUGGGGAGUAGGAGGGAGGGACCGCAAAGUGCAUAACGAGUAUCUGGGGCUGGUGGAUGCGGUCAUGCCCUGAUCGUGACACUUUCACGGGUGGACACACAGGUCAAAACUUAUCAGAUUGCGUGUUUCAAAUUUCAAAUAAGUGCAGUUUACUGUAUGCUGAUUACACUAAAAACAAAAACAAAAA